rnacentral:lncRNA from 1 species
AUGGAGUCACCGGGUUCACUUGGCUUCCCUCCCGCCCCGAACUCGCCCGUACCAGGUGGAACACGACCCCCUGCUCCAGACGUGGAACCCAACAACGGUCAAAGAGCGCCUAAGGGGAAGCCCCAGAGGCAACGUCGACGCUACCUCGUGCCCCCUCCCCCAACCUGCAGUCCCACGCCAGCACUUAGGAUCGCCUGCUCAAAGCACGGGGUCUGUCUUUGCAGAGUCCUUGGAGGGCUGCCCUAUUUUCUCUGCUGGUCCGAAAAGCUCCGAGGGUUGCUAGACGGCGGAGGCGGCGGGCCACAGGCUGGGCUGCAAACUUUUCCGUUAGGCGGUGACUCCCGGAGAACGCCGAGGCCCAGGACGGGAGCCCGGGGCCUGGCGGUUCCCCGGCCUUUUAAGUCCGCCCCAAGGGAAAACUCCCAGCCCCACCCCCGCGUCCGCCCCGACCCGCCGGCCGCCGGCCCGGGGCGGGGAACGCGCGCAGCUGGCUGCCCGGGAGCCACAUCUGGAGCGCUCUCCAACCCCCACACCCAGAUGUGCAGGGAGUCGAGGGGCCCCCCGCGGCCGCGGCCCCGCCCCCCCGCAGGCAGCCGGGGUCCAGAUGCGGGACGCGCCCGGCCCCUCGGUGCGCCGGGGUGGGAGGUUGGGGGAGGGGGUCCGGGAAAGGAGCGAAGCUGGAGCCGUGCCGGGAAAGAUGGGGCGGCCGGGUCGCUGGGGCCUCCGCCAGGAGGCGGGGGUGCCCGGUCCCGCCCCGUCCCCGAGCCCGCCCCGCUGCGUGGGAUUUUUACAACCCGCGUCCCCAGGAGGCGGUGGCGAAGGGAGGGGCCGGCGGGGAUGUUUCCGGGGGAGGGCGGGGGGCGGGGUGCGCCUCCUCGGGCGCGGGCGUUUCCGCUCUCGGGGGCCACCCAGAGGCCCUCCCGGACGAGCGGCCCUGGCGACCCGGGCCCCUCGGGCCCCCACGCUCCGACCCGGUUCCUCCAUCGGAAGGGGAGGAGCUACGAGCGCCCUCUCGACUUUCCCUGGCGCGAGAGCCGGCCGGGCGCGCCCCCAGACGCUUUUUGCGCGCAGGAGUUUUGA